rnacentral:rRNA from 1 species
UACAGAGGGUGCGAGCGUUAAUCGGAAUUACUGGGCGUAAAGCGUGCGUAGACGGUUAUUUAAGUCGGGUGUGAAAGCCCCGGGCUCAACCUGGGAAUUGCAUUCGAGACUGAAUAGCUAGGGUACGGUAGAGGGAAGCGGAAUUUCCGGUGUAGCGGUAGAAAUGCGUAGAUAUCGGAAGGAACAUCAGUGGCGAAGGCGGAGCUACCUGGACCGGUUCUGACGCUGAUGCGCGAAAGCGUGGGGAAGCAAACAGGGAU